CAAGGCUGAGAGCAGCAGUCAAGGCUGAGUGGGCGAGGUGGUCCACUUGCCAUCUAUCCUGGCCGAGCAUAUCCGUGCCAGGUGCUGUUGCUGCCCUAGGCACGCCAAGGAACAGAGGAGGGCAGGUAUGUUCCGGGCAGCCUCCGGAGUCAAAUCAAGAUUUGAGGUACCCAGAGGAGCCUCAUAGCCAAAGCUUGGAAACGGCAGCACCGAAGCACACACGGAGAGCAUCUCAACGUCCACGUGCGACCGAGGAUGGAUUUUGUCCGCUCCUCUUCCAAAAGCUAAGUGUCGGGGCCAGUGGCUGGGAGAAGGGGAGAAACCUUUACUCUCAC